ACAGUGGACGCGAGCAUCUGUGGCCAAGUUUUUAAGGGCGCACGGUGGAUGCCUUGGCACCAGGAACCGAUGAAGGACGUGGGAGGCCACGAUAGUCCCCGGGGAG
rnacentral:rRNA from 1 species